rnacentral:tRNA from 1 species
GCAGCCAUGGCCCAGUGGUAAGGCGACAGACUUCGACGUUUGAUCGUUACAAUCUGUAGAUCGGGGGUUCGAUCCCCUCUGGCUGUU